rnacentral:rRNA from 1 species
CUACGGGGGGCAGCAGUGGGGAAUAUUGCACAAUGGGCGCAAGCCUGAUGCAGCCAUGCCGCGUGUAUGAAGAAGGCCUUCGGGUUGUAAAGUACUUUCAGCGGGGAGGAAGGGAGUAAAGUUAAUACCUUUGCUCAUUGACGUUACCCGCAGAAGAAGCACCGGCUAACUCCGUGCCAGCGGCCGCGGUAAUACGGAGGGUGCAAGCGUUAAUCGGAGUUACUGGGCGUAACGCGCACGCAGGCGGUUUGUUAAGUCAGAUGUGAAAUCCCCGGGCUCAACCUGGGAACUGCAUCUGAUACUGGCAAGCUUGAGUCUCGUAGAGGGGGGUAGAAUUCCAGGUGUAGCGGUGAAAUGCGUAGAGAUCUGGAGGAAUACCGGUGGCGAAGGCGGCCCCCUGGACGAAGACUGACGCUCAGGUGCGAAAGCGUGGGGAGCAAACAGGAUUAGAUACCCUUGUAGUC